rnacentral:rRNA from 1 species
UGAGGAAUAUUGGUCAAUGGGCUGAGGCCUGAACCAGCCAAGUCGCGUGAGGGAAGACGGUCCUAUGGAUUGUAAACCUCUUUUGUCGGGGAGCAACGACGUCACGAGUGACGGAAGUGAGAGUACCCGAAGAAAAAGCAUCGGCUAACUCCGUGCCAGCAGCCGCGGUAAUACGGAGGAUGCGAGCGUUAUCCGGAUUUAUUGGGUUUAAAGGGUGCGUAGGCGGACUGUUAAGUCAGCGGUAAAAAUUCGGGGCCCAACCCCGUCAUGCCGUUGAAACUGGCGGACUAGAGUGGGCGAGAAGUAUGCGGAAUGCGAGGUGUAGCGGUGAAAUGCAUAGAUAUCACGCAGAACUCCGAUUGCGAAGGCAGCAUACCGGCGCCCGACUGACGCUGAGGCACGAAAGCGUGGGGAUCGAACAGGAUUAGAUACC